GAUGAACGCUGGCGGCGUGCCUAAUACAUGCAAGUCGAGCGAACAGACGAGGAGCUUGCUCCUCUGACGUUAGCGGCGGACGGGUGAGUAACACGUGGAUAACCUACCUAUAAGACUGGGAUAACUUCGGGAAACCGGAGCUAAUACCGGAUAAUAUAUUGAACCGCAUGGUUCAAUAGUGAAAGACGGUUUUGCUGUCACUUAUAGAUGGAUCCGCGCCGCAUUAGCUAGUUGGUAAGGUAACGGCUUACCAAGGCAACGAUGCGUAGCCGACCUGAGAGGGUGAUCGGCCACACUGGAACUGAGACACGGUCCAGACUCCUACGGGAGGCAGCAGUAGGGAAUCUUCCGCAAUGGGCGAAAGCUUGACGGAGCAAAGCCGCGUGAGUGAUGAAGGUCUUCGGAUCGUAAAACUCUGUUAGUAGGGAAGAACAAAUGUGUAAGUAACUAUGCACGUCUUGACGGUACCUAAUCAGAAAGCCACGGCUAACUACGUG
rnacentral:rRNA from 1 species